rnacentral:sRNA from 1 species
CGGUAGAUGCACCCUGAUUCAGACCCCUGAGGAUAGCUAACUCAGGGGUCUUUUUGU